rnacentral:lncRNA from 10 species
AACUAGAGAGUUAGGACCCAGACUUUUGCCUUACUGCUACUGUUUUUCAGGAGUACAGAGGAAGGAUCCAAGGAGCAAGACACAGAAUUCUGAGGAGGAUGUUCCAUUGGCUGCUACUGGCCAUACUUUGGGAGAUCAGAGGACGGUUCCCACAGAGCUGGAACUCACCUCUGAGAAGAGGAUAUUGCUCAGCUGCUUCUCGUGCCUCCAAGUGAACACAAUAGUGAUGCUGAUUCGUGAAGUUAGAAAGAAUGUGGAAACUAGAAAACCACAGCUAUAACCAACUGCUGCUGCUAAGGAUGGGACUGUUUCAAGGGAAGGCUCCUUACAGUGAAGAAAAGGGUCAAAUCCAAUUAAAAUUGCAAAGGAAA